AGUGAACGCUGGCGGUAGGCCUAGCACAUGCAAGUCGAACGGCAGCACAGUAAGAGCUUGCUCUUACGGGUGGCGAGUGGCGGACGGGUGAGGAAUACAUCGGAAUCUACUUUUUCGUGGGGGAUAACGUAGGGAAACUUACGCUAAUACCGCAUACGACCUACGGGUGAAAGCAGGGGAUCUUCGGACCUUGCGCGAUUGAAUGAGCCGAUGUCGGAUUAGCUAGUUGGCGGGGUAAAGGCCCACCAAGGCGACGAUCCGUAGCUGGUCUGAGAGGAUGAUCAGCCACACUGGAACUGAGACACGGUCCAGACUCCUACGGGAGGCAGCAGUGGGGGAUAUUGGACAAUGGGCGCAAGCCUGAUCCAGCCAUACCGCGUGGGUGAAGAAGGCCUUCGGGUUGUAAAGCCCUUUUGUUGGGAAAGAAAAGCAGCAGGUUAAUACCCCGCUGUUCUGACGGUACCCAAAGAAUAAGCACCGGCUAACUUCGUG
rnacentral:rRNA from 1 species